rfam:Candidatus Wolfebacteria bacterium RBG_13_41_7 RBG_13_scaffold_8937, whole genome shotgun sequence.
GGGCGAGUGGUGAAAUGGCAAACACGUAGGCUUCAGGAGUCUAUGAUCGCAAGAUCUUGCGGGUUCAAGUCCCGCCUCGCCCA